rnacentral:snRNA from 1 species
GCUCGCUUCAACUAACUUUGCAACCGAUAUAGAGAUUAGCAUGGCCCCUGUGCAAGGAUGACAUGCAAGUUCAAGAAGCGUUCCAUAUAAUC